rnacentral:rRNA from 1 species
AACGAACGCUGGCGGCAGGCUUAACACAUGCAAGUCGAACGCCCCGCAAGGGGAGUGGCAGACGGGUGAGUAACGCGUGGGAAUCUACCUAGUUCUACGGAACAACAGAGGGAAACUUCUGCUAAUACCGUAUACGCCCUAAGGGGGACAGAUUUAUCGGAAUUAGAUGAGCCCGCGUAAGAUUAGCUAGUUGGUGGGGUAAUGGCCUACCAAGGCGACGCUCUUUAGGUGGUCGGAGAGAAUGAUCGGCCAGCCUGGGACUGAGACACGGCCCAGACUCCUACGGGAGGCAGCAGUGGGGAAUAUUGGACAAUGGGCGCAAGCCUGAUCCAGCCAUGCCGCGUGAGUGAUGAAGGCCUUAGGGUUGUAAAGCUCUUUCAGUGGGGACGAUAAUGACGGUACCCACAGAAGAAGCCCCGGCUAACUUCGUGCCAGCCGCCGCGGUAACAC